rnacentral:rRNA from 1 species
UGGGGAAUAUUGGACAAUGGGCGAAAGCCUGAUCCAGCCAUGCCGCGUGUGUGAAGAAGGUCUUCGGAUUGUAAAGCACUUUAAGUUGGGAGGAAGGGCAGUAAGCGAAUACCUUGCUGUUUUGACGUUACCGACAGAAUAAGCACCGGCUAACUCUGUGCCAGCAGCCGCGGUAAUACAGAGGGUGCAAGCGUUAAUCGGAAUUACUGGGCGUAAAGCGCGCGUAGGUGGAUCGUUAAGUUGAAUGUGAAAGCCCCGGGCUCAACCUGGGAACUGCAUCCAAAACUGGCGAGCUAGAGUAGGGCAGAGGGUGUUGGAAUUUCCUGUGUAGCGGUGAAAUGCGUAGAUAUAGGAAGGAACACCAGUGGCGAAGGCGACCACCUGGGCUCAUACUGACACUGAGGUGCGAAAGCGUGGGGAGCAAACAGG